AUUGAACGCUGGCGGCAUGCCUUACACAUGCAAGUCGAACGGCAGCACGGGAGCAAUCCUGGUGGCGAGUGGCGAACGAGUGAGUAAUAUAUCGGAACGUGCCCAGUCGUGGGGGAUAACGUAGCGAAAGCUACGCUAAUACCGCAUACGAUCUAUGGAUGAAAGCGGGGGAUCGCAAGACCUCGCGCGAUUGGAGCGGCCGAUAUCAGAUUAGGUAGUUGGUGAGGUAAAGGCUCACCAAGCCGACGAUCUGUAGCUGGUCUGAGAGGACGACCAGCCACACUGGGACUGAGACACGGCCCAGACUCCUACGGGAGGCAGCAGUGGGGAAUUUUUGGACAAUGGGCGCAAGCCUGAUCCAGCAAUGCCGCGUGCAGGAUGAAGGCCU
rnacentral:rRNA from 1 species